rnacentral:rRNA from 1 species
AAGCGGUGGAGCAUGUGGUUAAUUCGAAGCAACGCGAAGAACCUUACCUGGUCUUGACAUCCCGGAGACCCUUAGGAAACUAGGGGGUGCUUCCAUCUGGAAGAAUCUGGAGACAGGUGCUGCAUGGCUGUCGUCAGCUCGUGUCGUGAGAUGUUGGGUUAAGUCCCGCAACGAGCGCAACCCUUGCCUUUAGUUGCCAGCAGUUCGGCUGGGCACUCUAAAGGGACUGCCGGUGUUAAACCGGAGGAAGGUGGGGAUGACGUCAAGUCCUCAUGGCCUUUAUGACCAGGGCUACACACGUACUACAAUGGCCGAUACAAAGGGCAGCGACACUGCGAGGUGAAGCCAAUCCCGUAAAAUCGGUCUCAGUCCGGAUUGGAGUCUGCAACUCGACUCCAUGAAGUUGGAAUCGCUAGUAAUCGUGGAUCAGCAUGCCACGGUGAAUACGUUCCCGGGCCUU